UACAGAGGGUGCGAGUGUUAAUCGGAUUUACUGGGCGUAAAGCGUGCGUAGGCGGCUUUUUAAGUCGGAUGUGAAAUCCCCGAGCUUAACUUGGGAAUUGCAUUCGAUACUGGGAAGCUAGAGUAUGGGAGAGGAUGGUAGAAUUCCAUGUGUAGCGUUGAAAUGCGUAGAGAUCUGGAGGAAUACCGAUCGCGAAGGCAGCCAUCUGGCCUAAUACUGACGCUGACGUACGAAAGCGUGGGCAGCAAACAGC
rnacentral:misc_RNA from 1 species